rnacentral:rRNA from 1 species
UUAGUGGCGAACGGGUGAGUAACACGUGAGUAACCUGCCCUUAACUCUGGGAUAAGCCUGGGAAACUGGGUCUAAUACCGGAUAGGAGCGUCCACCGCAUGGUGGGUGUUGGAAAGAUUUAUCGGUUUUGGAUGGACUCGCGGCCUAUCAGCUUGUUGGUGAGGUAAUGGCUCACCAAGGCGACGACGGGUAGCCGGCCUGAGAGGGUGACCGGCCACACUGGGACUGAGACACGGCCCAGACUCCUACGGGAGGCAGCAGUGGGGAAUAUUGCACAAUGGGCGCAAGCCUGAUGCAGCGACGCCGCGUGAGGGAUGACGGCCUUCGGGUUGUAAACCUCUUUCAGUAGGGAAGAAGCGAAAGUGACGGUACCUGCAGAAGAAGCACCGGCUAACUACGUGCCAGCAGCCGCGGUAAUACGUAGGGUGCGAGCGUUAUCCGGAAUUAUUGGGCGUAAAGAGCUCGUAGGCGGUUUGUCGCGUCUGUCGUGAAAGUCCGGGGCUUAACCCCGGAUCUGCGGUGGGUACGGGCAGACUAGAGUGCAGUAGGGGAGACUGGAAUUCCUGGUGUAGCGGUGGAAUGCGCAAUAUCAGGAGGAACACCGAUGGCGAAGGCAGGUCUCUGGGCUGUAACUGACGCUGAGACGAAAGCAUGGGGAGCGAACAGAUUAGAUACCCUGGUAGUCAUG